UACGGAGGGUGCAAGCGUUAUCCGGAUUCACUGGGUUUAAAGGGUGCGUAGGCGGGUAAGUAAGUCCGUGGUGAAAUCUCUGAGCUUAACUCAGAAAAUGCCGUGGAUACUAUUUGCCUUGAAUAUUGUGGAGGUGAGCGGAAUAUGUCAUGUAGCGGUGAAAUGCUUAGAUAUGACAUAGAACACCAAUUGCGAAGGCAGCUCACUACACAAUCAUUGACGCUGAGGCACGAAAGCGUGGGGAUCAAACAGG
rnacentral:rRNA from 1 species